rnacentral:rRNA from 1 species
GUGGGGAAUUUUGGACAAUGGGCGCAAGCCUGAUCCAGCAAUGCCGCGUGCAGGAAGAAGGCCUUCGGGUUGUAAACUGCUUUUGUACGGAACGAAACGGUUCUCUCUAAUACAGGGAGCUAAUGACGGUACCGUAAGAAUAAGCACCGGCUAACUACGUGCCAGCAGCCGCGGUAAUACGUAGGGUGCAAGCGUUAAUCGGAAUUACUGGGCGUAAAGCGUGCGCAGGCGGUUUUGUAAGACAGAGGUGAAAUCCCCGGGCUCAACCUGGGAGCUGCCUUUGUGACUGCAAGGCUGGAGUGCGGCAGAGGGGGAUGGAAUUCCGCGUGUAGCAGUGAAAUGCGUAGAUAUGCGGAGGAACACCGAUGGCGAAGGCAAUCCCCUGGGCCUGCACUGACGCUCAUGCACGAAAGCGUGGGGAGCAAACAGGAUUAGAUACCCGAGUAGUCC